UACGUAGGGUGCAAGCGUUGUCCGGAAUUAUUGGGCGUAAAGAGCUCGUAGGCGGUUUGUUGCGUCGGCUGUGAAAUCCCGAGGCUCAACCUCGGGUCUGCAGUCGAUACGAGCAAACUAGAGUGUUGCAGGGGAGACUGGAAUUCCUGGUGUAGCGGUGAAAUGCGCAGAUAGUCAGGAGGAACACCCGGUGGCGAAGGCGGGGUCUCUGGGCAACAACAUGACGCUGGAGGAGCGAAA
rnacentral:rRNA from 1 species